rnacentral:rRNA from 1 species
AAAAAAAUUUUAGAUAAAUUCUGCUCAAUGAGUAAGUUAAAUAGCUGCAGUAAAUUAACUGUACUAAGGUAGCAUAAUAAGUUGCUUUAUAAUUAAAAGCUUGAAUGAAAGAAAUAAUGUGAAAGAAGCUUUUUAAACUAAAAUAGUGAAAAUUAAUAUUUAAGUGAAAAAUCUUAAAUAGAAUCAAAAGACAAGAAGACCCUUUAGAACUUUACAAAUUGAUUUAAUAUCAUUUAGUUAAUUUGUUAAAUUGGGGAGAUUUUUAAAUAAAUAGAUCUUUAGAUAUAAAAAAAUGAUUUAAAUCAGAUUAAAUUAUCCAAAUGUGAAAUAAAACAAGUUACCUAAGGGAUAACAGCGCAAAAUUUUUGAGAAGUUCUCAUUUACAAAAUAAAUUGCGACCUCGAUGUUGGAU